rnacentral:rRNA from 1 species
GACGAACGCUGGCGGUGUGCUUAACACAUGCAAGUCGAACGGUAAGGCCCUUUCGGGGGUACACGAGUGGCGAACGGGUGAGUAACACGUGAGUAACCUGCCCUCAUCUCUGGGAUAACAGUCGGAAACGGUUGCUAAUACUGGAUAUGAGCCUGCAAGGCAUCUUGUGGGUUGGAAAGAUUUUUUGGUUGGGGAUGGACUCGCGGCCUAUCAGCUUGUUGGUGAGGUUGUGGCUCACCAAGGCUUCGACGGGUAGCCGGCCUGAGAGGGCGACCGGCCACAUUGGGACUGAGAUACGGCCCAAACUCCUACGGGAGGCAGCAGUGGGGAAUAUUGCACAAUGGACGGAAGUCUGAUGCAGCAACGCCGCGUGCGGGAUGACGGCCUUCGGGUUGUAAACCGCUUUCAAUUGUGACGAAGCUUUUUGUGACGGUAGCAGUAGAAGAAGCACCGGCUAACUACGUG